rnacentral:rRNA from 1 species
GACGAAGGUGGCAAGCGUUGUUCGGAAUCACUGGGCUUAAAGAGCACGUAGGCGGCCCUUCAAGUGCCUUGUGAAAUCCCCCGGCUCAACCGGGGAAUUGCAUGGCAAACUGCAGGGCUUGAGGCAGGUAGGGGCGAGUGGAACUCUUGGUGGAGCGGUGGAAUGCGUAGAUAUCAAGAGGAACGCCGGUGGUGAAGACGACUCGCUGGGCCUGUCCUGACGCUGAGGUGCGAAAGCCAGGGGAGCAAACGGG